GGAAGGCAGACAGAGAAGGAUGAAGUGAGUAAGGAGAGACGAGGAGUGGAGAGUGACAGCAAGGGUAAAGGUCAUAGCAGGAGAGUGGGAGAGCAAACACCUAAGAAAAGUGAUGUCCAGCUCCAGGGCUUCAGAGUGGUUCUUCUAACUCUACAGCACUUCAUUGAGAUAGUUAGGACUGGCAAAUAUUGGUCUGAGUGGCUAUGUAAAACUUGGUAGAUGAUGUUAGAUUUGUGAUUUUAUUAUAACAAAGUGAUUUGUAUAUUAAAAGUCAGUAAAAAGAUGUCACUUUUUCUUUUUUGUCUUAAAGUAAAAUGCAGACUCCUGAGAAAUGUAUCAAUUUGCAUAAAGGAUGGAGAAGAGGAGGUGGGAUGCUGGUGAGUUGGAGCAACUAUAAAUCCCGGUAAGUGUUUGAGGUUGAAGAGAGCAGAAGCAUUAUCAAAGGAUAGAACCAAUCUCAGAGAAAUUACAAAUGGGAAGGUGGACUAGCACUGGAUUCAAGGCUACAAAUCUCCAUUUUGGAAGGUUAAAUGAAGCUGAUAGAAUUAGUGAGUCAUUAAGAUUAUGAAAAAAAAUUGGAAGAGACACAAGGGAAAAUGGGAAUGGAAAUGGGAAGGAAGGAAAGGGGAUUGUAUAAAAUUAUGCUGUGUAGCUAUAGUUCUCUUCUAUUUAGGGUAAUUAUCUGUCUAUAAGAAUGGUUAGCAAAAUUUUCAUGUAAAGGACUAGGUAGUAAAUACGGUAGGUUUUUCUGACAAUGGUCUUCAUCAUAGCUACUCAACUCAAUAUUGAGAUAUGAAGUCAGCUGAAGUCACAGGAAAUAAAGUAAUCAAACAUGGCAGUGUUCAAUAAUACAAUUAUAAAGAACAUUAAAAUUCUAAAAUCAAGAAAAGUUCACUUAUCAAUUAUUUCAUUUCUUUUUCUUUUCAAAUACUUAACAAUUUCAGAUAUCUUUUCUGCAUGGGCUAUGUGUAAACAGACAGCGGUGUCUUCUAGAUGAUGUCAUAGUUCUGCUUGUGAUGCAGACACAUUGGCUGUGACUCAUUUCCUCCCAGUAUGGAAUGAAAGAGGGAGGUCCUUGCUAAAUCACUCUUCUGGGGAAAAAUUACAUCAUUUGACACUGCUUCAUCUCUGUCACAGGGGACCUCCACCCCCAUGAUUGGGCAAGAGAUGACUCCAACAAACAAAUGACUGGGAGGAGUGAGCUGUAUCUCUAACAGAUAUUCAGAUAAGAACAAAGCACAGCUGCUAGAAAUACAGCUAGAUGUCUGGUGUGACGACAGCACUCAAAAACCCUCGGUAAAUGGAUGCAUGUUAGAGCCGUCCCUGAAACUAUCCCGCGUUGGAACCUUGAUCAUCCUCGCGCCAAAGAGAAGGAUGUCGAAGGUGGACGAAGGGGCACAGUUCUGAAAGCGGCACCUCCUCGUGCGGGAAACUGAAUUGCAUGUCUUCUGGCAGAAUCAUCUGGAAAAUAUAACAUGAGUAGAGAGAAGGCCUUGUCAUCGUGGCAAUCUGAGAAGCGCUCUUCUCAUUGAUGGUAGAAUAUCUUGGUGAAAGGAACGUGGAGUAGAAGCUAUGAACCUCAUUGUGGGCAAGAUGUAAAGUGAGAGACUACUGGAUUGCUGGCUUUCUACUCCUCUUUGUUUAUUCUGUGUGAGAUCUGGAGUCAACUGGAGUCAGGUCUCCCAUCAUCAACCAAUCGUCUCUGGACAUUCCUUAACAGAUGCAACACAUGUUUACUCAUCCAGAAAGGAAACCUGUGGCACUUCAAAGUGGUGUCUGUACCAAUACUCAUGGUGAAGCAGUGAGAUUCAUACUGGUUUACAAAUAAGAGUGUGACUAAUAGGUUAUAUACAAUGAACAGGGAUGAUUUAAAAGCAGCUUACAUUUCUGAGAAACCCAUCCCAACAUGGACUCAGUUUCUUUUGUACCCCUGAAGGGCCUAGAUUUCUUGGUAAUGAUUUUGCACCAGGAGGAAUACAUACUUUAUUAUGAUUUUGUAUAUACAUAUACGUGAGUGAUGAUAGAUUCCAGAAGAGACAAGAUGUUGAAGCUGACAAAGAAUCAAAAAUGUUCAUUUGAACUUCAGGCACAUUGCUGAUCUAGUCACAGGCUUAUGACCCAUGAAUCAGUGUCCAGCAUGGAUUCCAUCUCAAGGAGAAGGCCUUAAAUACAGUCAGAUAAGUGAUGGCUGGAGAAGCAGAAUUGGUUGUUACUCACUGAGCACAGCCAGCAACAGCAGCUCUCACCCAGCAUGGACCACAGGAAUCUGCAGCUGCUGCUCAGCUGUGUGCUCUCUCUCAUGACACAUUGAUGGUGAGGCAGUACCAACUUGAAGACUCAGGCACCUUUACCAUCCUGACUACAGGAGUAGAGUUGUUCAGCACUGCCAUUCUCUCACAUGACUCUACUCUGUGUGUGUACAACAAGAACUCAACAUGACUUAGGAAAGGGAAGUGCAGCACCUCAUGGGUGCAAGCAGUAAAUCUUUGGAGAAUUGGGUGACCAAUGUGUGUACUGUGACAAUGUGU